CAGAACAGAGACAGCACAGACAGAAGCAGUGCAAGCUUCCCUCAUGCUUUCCCCCAUGUGGUUCAGUUCUGAACUAGAGUGAUCAAUGAGG
rnacentral:sRNA from 1 species